rnacentral:rRNA from 1 species
AAGCGCACGCAGGCUGUCUGUAACGUCGGAUCUGAAAUCCUCGUGCUCAACCUUGUAACUGCAUGCGAAUCUUGCAGGCUAGCUGCUUGUAUACGGGGGUAGAUAUCCAGGUGUAGCGGUUAACUGCGGAAAGGUCUGCAGUAGUACCCGUGGCGAAGGCGGCCCUCUGGACACUGACUAACGCUGAGGGGCGAAAGCGUUGGCAGCAAACAGGAUUAGACACCC